UGGGGAAUAUUGGACAAUGGGCGAAAGCCUGAUCCAGCAAUACCGCGUGUGCGAUGAAGGUCUUCGGGCCGUAAAGCACUGUCAGUAGGGAGGAAUCUCUGGGGCUUUAACAAAGCCGCAGGGUGACGUUACCUGCAGAGGAAGCCACGGCUAACUCCGUGCCAGCAGCCGCGGUAAUACGGAGGUGGCAAGCGUUACUCGGAUUGAUUGGGUGUAAAGGGUGUGUAGGUGGCAGGUUAAGUUGAAUGUGAAAUCCCAUGGCUCAACCAUGGAACUGCAUUCAAAACUGGCUUGCUUGAGCGACUGAGAGGUAGAUGGAAUUCCCGGUGUAACAGUGAAAUGUGUAGAUAUCGGGAGGAACACCAGUGGCGAAGGCGAUCUACUGGCAGUCCGCUGACACUGAAACACGAGAGCUAGGGGAGCAAACAGG
rnacentral:rRNA from 1 species